UACAGAGGGGGCAAGCGUUAUUCGGAAUUAUUGGGCGUAAAGGGCGCGUAGGCGGCCUGGCAAGUGGAAGGUGAAAUCCCUCGGCUUAACCGAGGAACUGCCUCCCAAACUGCUUGGCUUGAGACCGGGAGAGGUGAGUGGAAUUCCCAGUGUAGCGGUGAAAUGCGUAGAUAUUGGGAGGAACACCAAUGGCGAAGGCAGCUCGCUGGGACGGUACUGACGCUGAGGCGCGAAAGCGUGGGGAGCGAACAGG
rnacentral:rRNA from 1 species